rnacentral:rRNA from 1 species
AUUGAACGCUGGCGGCAUGCUUUACACAUGCAAGUCGAACGGUAACAGGCCGCAAGGUGCUGACGAGUGGCGCACGGGUGAGUAAUGCAUCGGAACGUGCCCAGUCGUGGGGGAUAACUACUCGCAAGAGUAGCUAAUACCGCAUACGAUCUAUGGAUGAAAGCGGGGGACCGUAAGGCCUCGCGCGAUUGGAGCGGCCGAUGUCAGAUUAGGUAGUUGGUGGGGUAAAGGCUCACCAAGCCAACGAUCUGUAGCUGGUCUGAGAGGACGACCAGCCACACUGGGACGGAGACACGGCCCAGACUCCUACGGGAGGCAGCAGUGGGGAAUUUUGGACAAUGGGCGCAAGCCUGAUCCAGCAAUGCCGCGUGCAGGAAGAAGGCCUUCGGGUUGUAAACUGCUUUUGUACGGAACGAAACGGCUCUGGUUAAUACCCGGGGCUAAUGACGGUACCGUAAGAAUAAGCACCGGCUAACUACGUG